rnacentral:rRNA from 1 species
UACGUAGGGUCCGAGCGUUGUCCGGAAUUAUUGGGCGUAAAGGGCUCGUAGGCGGUCUGUUGCGUCGGGAGUGAAAACUUACAGCUUAACUGUGAGCGUGCUUCCGAUACGGGCAGACUUGAGGUAUUCAGGGGAGAACGGAAUUCCUGGUGUAGCGGUGAAAUGCGUAGAUAUCAAGAGGAACACCUGAGGUGAAGACGGGUUGCUGGGCUGACACUGACGCUGAGACGCGAAAGCGUGGGGAGCAAACAGG